rnacentral:rRNA from 1 species
GACGAACGCUGGCGGCGUGCUUAACACAUGCAAGUCGAACGGAAAGGCCCUGCUUUUGUGGGGUGCUCGAGUGGCGAACGGGUGAGUAACACGUGAGUAACCUGCCCUUGACUUUGGGGUAACUUCAUGAAACUGGGGCUAAUAGCGGAUAGGAGCUUCUGCUUCAUGGUGGGGGUGGGAAAGUUUCGGCGGUUGGGGAUGGACUGGCGGCUUAUCAGCUUGGUGUGGGGGUGGUGUAUUACAAAGGCUUUGACGGGUAGCCGUCCUGAGAGGGUGAGCGGACAAAUUAGGACUGAGAUACGGCCCAGACUCCAACGGGAGGCGGAAGAGGGGAACCUUGUACGAUGGGCGGAAGCAUGGUGUAGCAACGCCGUGUCCGGGAUGACGGCCUUCGGGUUGUAUACCGAUUUCGUCUGGGACGAAGCGUUAGUGACGGUACUGGGUAAAGAAGCACCGGCUAACUACGUG